rnacentral:rRNA from 1 species
GAUGAACGCUGGCGGCGUGCUUAACACAUGCAAGUCGAACGAAGCACUUAAUGAGAUUUCUUCGGAUUGAUUAUUUUGUGACUGAGUGGCGGACGGGUGAGUAACGCGUGGGUAACCUGCCCCAGACCGGGGGAUAACAGUCGGAAACGACUGCUAAUACCGCAUAAGCGCACAGUGCCGCAUGGCACGGUGUGAAAAACUCCGGUGGUCUGGGAUGGACCCGCGUCCGAUUAGUUAGUUGGUGGGGUAACGGCCCACCAAGACUGCGAUCGGUAGCCGACCUGAGAGGGUGACCGGCCACAUUGGGACUGAGACACGGCCCAGACUCCUACGGGAGGCAGCAGUGGGGAAUAUUGCACAAUGGAGGAAACUCUGAUGCAGCGACGCCGCGUGAGCGAAGAAGUAUUCGGUAUGUAAAGCUACUGUCAGCAGGGAAGAUAAUGACGGUACCUAGACCAAGAAGCCCCGGCUAACUACGUGACCAGCAGCCGC